AAGUCGUAACAAGGUUUCCGUAGGUGAACCUGCGGAAGGAUCAUUAACACGUUAUCCACGUAUCAACCAAUGUGAACUGUUUUCAAUAUCUCCCUCUAAGGAAUGAACGAACUGGAUCCCCAACAGAGAUGUGCCGUGAGGGCUGGUCGCGAGACUGGCUGCUGCUUUUCGGGGUUAUUAAAGUCGCAAGGCUUUGACGGUUGUAUCAUAGACGAGGCUACUAACGCACUACAAAUGCUUUCACGUCCGCAAGUUGUAGUUGCACCCUAUUUAACUUAUUUCACCCCCUUUUUGCUAGUUGACUUUAUAAUGUUGUUCUUUACGAAAGUAUGGAGCACACGUUUAUUUAUUUGAACGUUAAAAAUACAACUCUUAGCAAUGGAUAUCUUGGUUCUC
rnacentral:misc_RNA from 1 species